GGUGUCUCACUCUUAAACUUC
rnacentral:siRNA from 1 species